rnacentral:lncRNA from 10 species
CCCUGGAUAACCUACAAUCUUGUGGAGAAAUGGAGGCACUCAUGGAUCAAGCAUUUUCCCAGGGCCACAUAGUUAAUGUAGCACUUAGAAGACUGGGUAUCUUUUUCAAUGCCACAUAGUAGCACAGCUAGGAGUUGAACCAGGCAGUCUGGUGCUACAGGCCAUACAUUUUGACAUGUGUUUUGUUGCCUCUUGACAAAGUCCAUGGACUGUGAUCCUGGGACCAACAGCAUCAGUAUCAACUGGGAACUUCUUAGAAAUUCAAAUUCUUGGGGCUAUUCCCCAAAUUUCUGAGUCAGAAGCUCUGGGGAUAGGGCCCAGCAAGCUAUGUGUUAACAG